GGGGAUUUAGCUCAGUGGUAGAGCGCUUGCCUAGCGAGCACAAGGUCCUGGGUUCAGUCCCCAGCUCCG
rnacentral:tRNA from 1 species